UUGGGCCAGAAAAAAGCAUUGAGCUUGAGGGACUAGACUAAUCAAAAAAUGGAAUAACAUGGCAACAAUUACACUGAUGAGUGAGAGGGAAGCUACAGAUGCAUUCAGACACCUAUGGCACCACAGACUCAACGCAUUCAGCAUUUCGUGUUUAGUGUCUUGUGUUUCUGAGAGCAGGUUUUGACUCAUACAUAAGAAACAAACUCAGGACACCAGAACCAAAGGACUGGGUCAAAACGAACAGCGCCAUAGAGCUCAAAGUCUCAAGCAAAACCAGAUUGCAAAGACAUCUUUGAAGCCAAACAUCAAACGGAGCAAAACAGGCAGGUGAUCCCAUUUUCAAGGCUUCCACAAACGGUGGCGCAAGGUCGUGUGUACACGGCAUACUCCUAUGAAGAGGUCCUGCCCCAUCGACUGGCCACAACUGACUGAGACCCCUGAUCACACUGACAUUCGCCUCUAAAGGACUUAAAGGUAGGAAACACAGAGACAGAAAAGCAAGCGGCGGUCCAUGGAACUGUGAGGUUCUACAGAGCUGGGUCCAGAACAUGCACCAUGAAAGUUCAAAGGUCAUGGGGACAGGGCUAACAGGUCACCCAUGUGAGGAAGCAGAAAUGAAGAGGCCUUCAGGGAAACCAGUUCACAGAGAGAAUAAAACAGAUGCAUAGGUGAUUAUGAGUAAGAGAGAAGGAAUGAGGAGGAGGAAGACAGAGGGCAAGAGACGGAGAGGGAGAGCAGAGAGCAAGGAGGGCAGAGACAGAGACAAAACUAGACAGAGCCAGAGGCAGAUAGAGACACAGCAAAGGAGAUGAACAAAUCCGCUGGUGACUUUCUGGAUGCCACAAUGUCGAGCUAUACUUCCUGCAAUAAAUUCCAUAUUUCUGAUCCUUUUUGGUAACUUUGCUUUACAAGCUGUUUUAGGCAGAUUUCUGAUUCUUACAACCAGAUGAUUCUUGAGUGAAAUAUCUGCUCCUUGAUUAUAGCUGCUUUAAAAAAUUUUUUAUUUAAGUAUAGUGGAUUUAUAACAUUGUGUUCUGGGUGUAUAGAAUAGUGAUCAUCUGCACUUUUAUAUUUCAUUAUAGGUUAUUACAAGAUAAUGGGUCUAGUUUCCCAUGCUGUACAGGGAACUUAUCCUUAUUGCUUCUCUGUUUUACACAUAGUAGUUCCCAUCUGUUGUUAAUCCCAUAUCCUUAAAUUGUCCCUUCUCACAUCCCUCUCACCUUUGAUAACUG